rnacentral:rRNA from 1 species
AUUGAACGCUGGCGGCAUGCUUUACACAUGCAAGUCGAACGGUAACAGGCCUUCGGGCGCUGACGAGUGGCGAACGGGUGAGUAAUGCAUCGGAACGUGCCCAGUCGUGGGGGAUAACUAUCCGAAAGGAUAGCUAAUACCGCAUACGAUCUGCGGAUGAAAGCGGGGGACCGUCGGGCCUCGCUCGAUUGGAGCGGCCGAUGUCAGAUUAGGUAGUUGGUGGGGUAAAGGCUCACCAAGCCAACGAUCUGUAGCUGGUCUGAGAGGACGACCAGCCACACUGGGACUGAGACACGGCCCAGACUCCUACGGGAGGCAGCAGUGGGGAAUUUUGGACAAUGGGCGCAAGCCUGAUCCAGCAAUGCCGCGUGCAGGAAGAAGGCCUUCGGGUUGUAAACUGCUUUUGUACGGAACGAAACGGCUCUGGUUAAUACCCGGGGCUGAUGACGGUACCGUAAGAAUAAGCACCGGCUAACUACGUGCCAGCAGCCGCCGUAAGAC